ensembl:lncRNA
CAAUUAAUUUGCUGAUACAUUCCAUCUACAUCUCUCUCUCUCUCUUUUUUUGGAGACAGGGUCUUGCUCUGUUGGUCAGGCUGGAGUGCAGUAGCACAAACAUGGAUCAUUCCAGUCUCUACCUCUUAGGCUCAAGUGAUCCUCUCACUUCGGCCACCCAAGUAGUUGGAACUACAGGUGUGUGAAAACAUGCCUGGUUAAUUUCUGUUUUUUUGUUUUAUUUUGUUUUGUUUGUAGAGACAAGGUUUCACGAUGUUGCCCAGGCUUGUCUCAAACUCCUGGCUCAAGUGAUCUGCCCAACUCGGCCUCCCAAAGUUCUGGGAUUACAGAUAAUGAAGCUCAGAGAGGAUAGCCACCUCCUCAAGGACACAGAAUUUCUUCCAGCAAUGGUCAGACACCAGUUUCUCCAGGGGACACCUGCAAGACAUUCAAAUUGGUUACCUUGACACCUGUUUACCUCUUUCUAUUUCUCUUGGCUUAAGCAUCUGCUUUCCAUGAGCCAUGCCGUCAGCAGUCUCACAAUCAUAGCCUCACCCCUUCGUCCUAAGCCACAGGUAUGGACCAAUGUUAGCCAAUCAUCCACCCGACAAUAGCAACUGAUUGAAGAAGUGAGCUCAAGAACCAAUUAGGGCCUGAG